rnacentral:rRNA from 1 species
GGAGGCGGCUGCUAUACAUGCAGUCGAACGCUUCUUUUUCCACCGGAGCUUGCUCCACCGGAAAAAGAGGAGUGGCGAACGGGUGAGUAACACGUGGGUAACCUGCCCAUCAGAAGGGGAUAACACUUGGAAACAGGUGCUAAUACCGUAUAACAAUCGAACCGCAUGGUUUUGAUUUGAAAGGCGCUUUCGGGUGUCGCUGAUGGAUGGACCCGCGGUGCAUUAGCUAGUUGGUGAGGUAACGGCUCACCAAGGCCACGAUGCAUAGCCGACCUGAGAGGGUGAUCGGCCACAUUGGGACUGAGACACGGCCCAAACUCCUACGGGAGGCAGCAGUAGGGAAUCUUCGGCAAUGGACGAAAGUCUGACCGAGCAACGCCGCGUGAGUGAAGAAGGUUUUCGGAUCGUAAAACUCUGUUGUUAGAGAAGAACAAGGAUGAGAGUAACUGUUCAUCCCUUGACGGUAUCUAACCAGAAAGCCACGGCUAACUACGUGCCAGCAGCCGCGGUAAUACGUAGGUGGCAAGCGUUGUCCGGAUUUAUUGGGCGUAAAGCGAGCGCAGGCGGUUUCUUAAGUCUGAUGUGAAAGCCCCCGGCUCAACCGGGGAGGGUCAUUGGAAACUGGGAGACUUGAGUGCAGAAGAGGAGAGUGGAAUUCCAUGUGUAGCGGUGAAAUGCGUAGAUAUAUGGAGGAACACCAGUGGCGAAGGCGGCUCUCUGGUCUGUAACUGACGCUGAGGCUCGAAAGCGUGGGGAGCAAGCAGGGUUAGAUACCCUGGUAGUCCACGCCGUAAACGAUGAGUGCUAAGUGUUGGAGGGUUUCCGCCCUUCAGUGCUGCAGCUAACGCAUUAAGCACUCCGCCUGGGGAGUACGACCGCAAGGUUGAAACUCAAAGGAAUUGACGGGGGCCCGCACAAGCGGUGGAGCAUGUGGUUUAAUUCGAAGCAACGCGAGAACCUUACCAGGUCUUGACAUCCUUUGACCACUCUAGAGAUAGAGCUUCCCCUUCGGGGGCAAAGUGACAGGGGGUGCAUGGGUUGUCGUCAGCUCGUGUCGUGAGAAUGUUGGGUUAAGUCCCCGCAACGAGCGCCACCCUUAUUGGUUAGUUGCCAUUCAUUCAGUUGGGGCACUUCUUAGCAAGAGCUGCGCGGGUGGACGAC